UGAAAGUUAGUUUAGAAAAAUACUUGAUUUCGGCUCAAGAGAUCCUCGACAUAAGCCCGAGACUUUCAU
rnacentral:tRNA from 1 species